ACCCCUGCUGUCUAGGGUCGUGCACCCCGGGGAGAUAGCGACAGUUUUGCAGCGGUGUCUCCCUGCUUCACAGUGUGAGAGCAUGUUUGGUGUUUCUGAUGAGACUGACUGUAUACUUUCCUGCCAGGAAUAAACGGCCAGUGGCAACAGUGGUUACCACACAGAGGCAGAUCAACAGUGAUAAAUCUCCCUGCUUAUAGCCUGGGGAGAGGUGGGGGCAUCCUGACCAGUGCAGGGGAAGGACAACAAGGAGAGGCAAAUAACAUUAGCAACAACAGACGACGGUUCAGAGAUGACCCGGCUCGUGGUUCAGGGCCCGCAGGAGGAUCGCACACAUCCCUCAGAAACUCAGUGAGCUUCGGGCAGGAGGAGGCCCAAGGACGGUGCAGCAUAGCCGGGCACUUUGAACAAGGCCGUGGUGCAUUCAAGGCCCAAACGCUUUGGAUGGGAGAGAGGAUGAAUUGUGACAGCUCAUCUAAAAAAAAAAACAAAAAAAUGUAUUAAACUUACUCUGCUGCUUUAAAGAGUUUAGGAACUUGAAUGUUCAAAAAAUUGAUGAUAAAGCAGGUAAAUUUAUCAAAUGAAAAAUAAACGUAGUUCAUGAGUGGUGAUCAGUAGUGAUGAGAAAUUAAUUCCAUGGUAAAUGAUAGAUUUAUAUCUUAAUAUCUUUUAUUUGUUUCACUGAAAUAUUCCAAUUAAGAUCCACAACAUGUAAAUUAAUAGUCUUCCAUCAUAGGCUUUUUUAGAUAGAGACCCUCCAGACAUUUUUUAAGACAUAAAAAUCUAUUCCUUUAAUUAUGAUUUUUGUCUGAUAAGUUCUUUUUUUCCUUCCACAAAAGGUUUGUUCAUUUAGUAAUUCUAAAACAAAUCUAAAACCCUCCCCCUCCCUCAAUGAAAAAUUCAUAAUCUACAAAGAUGGAAAUAUUCUCAUUUCAUCUACUGAGUUUCAGAUGUUGACUUAUUCACAGAAAGCAGUGUGUGUGCACGGGAUGUUUCAUGUUUUUAUAUCACACUUGUUUAAGUUGCAUAUUGUGCAAACAAGUUGUGAUGGCACAAAAUCAUCUUGUUCUUGUGUUAAACUGAGAAUUAAGGUGAGCAGCAGAUAAAAGUGAAAACUGCCUUUUAGUGUCAAACUAAUAACUCUGCAAAGUAAAACACAUUUUAGAGUAUAGAGGCUUUAAACUCACAGUCUCUAUGAGAUAACGGACACUCAGCUGUCAGUUAGCUAAAACUAAUGCAGCCUAAUUCAACAUCACACUAAAGAUAAAUCGACGCAAACCCGGUAAUUUUUCUUCCCUCUAAAUUAACGUGGCCGUUUUCAACCAGAUCAGAAAGACAGUGUGAAUGGCGGUACUGCCCCCUGGUGCCACAAACUCUGAAAUGCAUCAUCUUUUCCUGUUGUUUAAAAUUGAUGAAUAGAAAUAAUUGGAUGAAUUCAGUUCAUGGGAUACUGAAUGUAACUGUAUACAUGGACAAAUAUAAUUGAAAAUAUAAAUUGAACAGUAACUUUCAAAAAUUAUUGAGAUUUAUAAUCAGUACAUUUAUUUGAAACAAGAAGAUGUGUCCUCAGGAUUUUAUGAGUGUAAGGCAUUAACUUUUCUUAUCUAACAUCCCUCUUUUGAAGCACCAUGAAGGAUUCCUUCAUUAGUCAUGUUGCUCUGCAUUAGCACUAACAGGGCCUACUGUCUUCUCUCCACAAGGUGGAGUCAUAAGAUUGAGUGUUGGGGUCCAUCUGUCAAUGGAGCUGAAUUCUUCUAGGAUCAUUUUACCAUUGAAUCACAUGAUGAAGCACCACAAAUAAUCAUUUAUUAAAUUGUUGCAUAUGAUUCCAGUUCAUUGUACGCUCACUGAACACAUUCCUCUUUCUAAUAGGAGCUAUCUGCAUAAAAGUAAUAGUC